AAUUAUGGUGGACUGGAUUGGGCAGCUUCGGCUGGCCGUUUCCUUUUGUGGCGGUAGGACCAACCCGAUUCAGUUCACCACCCAA
rnacentral:antisense_RNA from 1 species